GAGAAGAUAGUCAAGCGUCCACCUGUCUGUCUCCCACCUGACUCUGAAGAAAAUGAGGAUCUCAACUGUCUUUCUGGUUGUUGCUCUUUUGGUCUUCGCCUGUGAAGCGAAGGCUUUAAAUGAUAUUGAUCACCUUUAUGAUAUCGGCGGUGCAGAUUAUCUUGCAGCAAAAGGAAAUCUAGCUGCAGACAAACUGGCUGGUGGACUCUGGGCAGACAGAGCUCUUUGGAAACAUGACUGAAUCUCAUCAAGUGAUUCCAUGAUCUGAUCAUCACUUCGGCAGAUGCUGUGAGCUACAUCCUGAUAUCAACCUGCCCUUCUUCACCUUC